rnacentral:rRNA from 1 species
AACGAACGCUGGCGGCAUGCCUAACACAUGCAAGUCGAACGAAGGCUUCGGCCUUAGUGGCACACGGGUGCGUAACGCGUGGGAAUCUGCCCUUUGCUUCGGAAUAACAGUUAGAAAUGACUGCUAAUACCGGAUGAUGUCGCAAGACCAAAGAUUUAUCGGCAAAGGAUGAGCCCGCGUAGGAUUAGCUAGUUGGUGGGGUAAAGGCCUACCAAGGCGACGAUCCUUAGCUGGUCUGAGAGGAUGAUCAGCCACACUGGGACUGAGACACGGCCCAGACUCCUACGGGAGGCAGCAGUGGGGAAUAUUGGACAAUGGGCGAAAGCCUGAUCCAGCAAUGCCGCGUGAGUGAUGAAGGCCUUAGGGUUGUAAAGCUCUUUUACCCGGGAUGAUAAUGACAGUACCGGGAGAAUAAGCUCCGGCUAACUCCGUG